UACGUAGGGACCAAGCGUUGUUCGGAUUUACUGGGCGUAAAGGGCGCGUAGGCGGCAAUUCAAGUCACUUGUGAAAUCUCUGAGCUUAACUCAGAACGGUCAAGUGAUACUGCUUUGCUAGAGUGCAGAAGGGGCAACCGGAAUUCUUGGUGUAGCGGUGAAAUGCGUAGAUAUCAAGAGGAACACCGGAGGUGAAGACGGGGUUGCUGGGCUGACACUGACGCUGAGGCGCGAAAAGCUAGGGGUAGCAAACGGG
rnacentral:rRNA from 1 species